UACGGAGGGUGCGAGCGUUGUCCGGAUUUAUUGGGUUUAAAGGGUGCGUAGGCGGUUUGAUAAGUCUGGGGUGAAAGCCCGUUGCUCAACAACGGAACUGCCCUGGAUACUGUCAGGCUUGAGGACAGACGAGGUUGGCGGAAUAGAAGAUGUAGCGGUGAAAUGCAUAGAUGUCUUCUAGAACCCCGAUUGCGAAGGCAGCUGACUAGACUGUAUCUGACGCUGAGGCACGAAAAGCGUGGGGGAGCGAACAGG
rnacentral:rRNA from 1 species